rnacentral:miRNA from 1 species
UGCUCACUGCUCUUUCUGUCAGA